GAUGAACGCUGGCGGCGUGCCUAAUACAUGCAAGUCGAGCGAACGGACGAGAAGCUUGCUUCUCUGAUGUUAGCGGCGGACGGGUGAGUAACACGUGGAUAACCUACCUAUAAGACUGGGAUAACUUCGGGAAACCGGAGCUAAUACCGGAUAAUAUUUUGAACCGCAUGGUUCAAAAGUGAAAGACGGUCUUGCUGUCACUUAUAGAUGGAUCCGCGCUGCAUUAGCUAGUUGGUAAGGUAACGGCUUACCAAGGCAACGAUGCAUAGCCGACCUGAGAGGGUGAUCGGCCACACUGGAACUGAGACACGGUCCAGACUCCUACGGGAGGCAGCAGUAGGGAAUCUUCCGCAAUGGGCGAAAGCCUGACGGAGCAACGCCGCGUGAGUGAUGAAGGUCUUCGGAUCGUAAAACUCUGUUAUUAGGGAAGAACAUAUGUGUAAGUAACUGUGCACAUCUUGACGGUACCUAAUCAGAAAGCCACGGCUAACUACGUGCCAGCAGCCGCGGUAAUACGUAGGUGGCAAGCGUUAUCCGGAAUUAUUGGGCGUAAAGCGCGCGUAGGCAGUUUUUUAAGUCUGAUGUGAAAGCCCACGGCUCAACCGUGGAGGGUCAUUGGAAACUGGAAAACUUGAGUGCAGAAGAGGAAAGUGGAAUUCCAUGUGUAGCGGUGAAAUGCGCAGAGAUAUGGAGGAACACCAGUGGCGAAGGCGACUUUCUGGUCUGUAACUGACGCUGAUGUGCGAAAGCGUGGGGAUCAAACAGGAUUAGAUACCCUGGUAGUCCACGCCGUAAACGAUGAGUGCUAAGUGUUAGGGGGUUUCCGCCCCUUAGUGCUGCAGCUAACGCAUUAAGCACUCCGCCUGGGGAGUACGACCGCAAGGUUGAAACUCAAAGGAAUUGACGGGGACCCGCACAAGCGGUGGAGCAUGUGGUUUAAUUCGAAGCAACGCGAAGAACCUUACCAAAUCUUGACAUCCUUUGACAACUCUAGAGAUAGAGCUUUCCCCUUCGGGGGACAAAGUGACAGGUGGUGCAUGGUUGUCGUCAGCUCGUGUCGUGAGAUGUUGGGUUAAGUCCCGCAACGAGCGCAACCCUUAAGCUUAGUUGCCAUCAUUAAGUUGGGCACUCUAAGUUGACUGCCGGUGACAAACCGGAGGAAGGUGGGGAUGACGUCAAAUCAUCAUGCCCCUUAUGAUUUGGGCUACACACGUGCUACAAUGGACAAUACAAAGGGCAGCGAAACCGUGAGGUCAAGCAAAUCCCAUAAAGUUGUUCUCAGUUCGGAUUGUAGUCUGCAACUCGACUACAUGAAGCUGGAAUCGCUAGUAAUCGUAGAUCAGCAUGCUACGGUGAAUACGUUCCCGGGUCU
rnacentral:rRNA from 1 species